AAAUUGAAGAGUUUGAUCAUGGCUCAGAUUGAACGCUGGCGGCAGGCCUAACACAUGCAAGUCGAACGGUAACAGGAAACAGCUUGCUGUUUCGCUGACGAGUGGCGGACGGGUGAGUAAUGUCUGGGAAACUGCCUGAUGGAGGGGGAUAACUACUGGAAACGGUAGCUAAUACCGCAUAAUGUCGCAAGACUAAAGAGGGGGACCUUCGGGCCUCUUGCCAUCGGAUGUGCCCAGAUGGGAUUAGCUAGUAGGUGGGGUAACGGCUCACCUAGGCGACGAUCCCUAGCUGGUCUGAGAGGAUGACCAGCCACACUGGAACUGAGACACGGUCCAGACUCCUACGGGAGGCAGCAGUGGGGAAUAUUGCACAAUGGGCGCAAGCCUGAUGCAGCCAUGCCGCGUGUAUGAAGAAGGCCUUCGGGUUGUAAAGUACUUUCAGCGGGGAGGAAGGGAGUAAAGUUAAUACCUUUACUCAUUGACGUUACCCGCAGAAGAAGCAC
rnacentral:rRNA from 1 species